GUGCUUACUUCAGUAGCUUCUGUGCUAAAACUGGAAGGCUACAAAGAAGAUUAACAUGGCCCCCGUGCAAGGAUGACACACACAUUCCUGAAGCAGUCCACAUUUUU